rnacentral:rRNA from 1 species
AUUGAACGCUGGCGGGAGGCCUAACACAUGCAAGUCGAACGGAUCGCGGACGGAUGAGUAAUGUCUGGGAAACUGACCGAUGGAGGGGGAUAACAACUGGAAACGGAUGCUAAAUCCGCAUACCAUCGCCGGUGCCCGAAUGGGUUUAUCGAGUAGGUGGGGUAAAGGCUCACCUAGGCGCCGAUCCCUAGCUGGUCUGAGAGGAUGACCAGCCACACUGGAACUGAGACACGGUCCAGACUCCUACGGGAGGCAGCAGUGGGGAAUAUUGCACAAUGGGCGCAAGCCUGAUGCAGCCAUGCCGCGUGUAUGAAGAAGGCCUUCGGGUUGUAAAGUACUUUCAGCGGGGAGGCGUUACCCGCAGAAGAAGCACCGGCUAACUCCGUGCCAGCAGCCGCGGUAAUUC